UCCACAACUAGAAGCAAUUUGAUAAAUGUUUCAACUAUCAGGAUUCCAUCUUAUGGCAUCCAGGAUGUGUAGCUUGAAGAGGUACUUCAAAUAUUGAGUUAUAGCAUUACAGAUCUCCAGUAAAGAAUUCUAAGUACAUCACAGUUGUGACUGUGACAUCAGACUGCUGUACAUGUGUAGUACAGGUCAGUCCUUCAGAUUCCAAACUUGAUUUUGGGUGAUCCUCUCCAUCCCAUUUGUUCAGGAGGCAUCUCUGAUCCAGAGCCUUUUGUUGUACAGUUGGCAGCAUGAGCAAAGAGAUACAUGGUCGAUCUUUCUCUGAAGCAGUCAGCACGAACAGCAUAAGAGAAGGAGCAAAACACUCAUCAUCUGAUCCUUAAAGGUGUCAUGAGUGCAUCCGAAGACCUGGAACCAGAAGGGUUAACUGAGGCUGAAG